UCGCCAGCAACUGGGUUGUUGAGCGAUAACUAAAAUCAUUAACACAUUCCUCUUUGAAGAGCCGAUAUGACUGUCGGCUCUCUUUUUUUU
rnacentral:antisense_RNA from 1 species